rnacentral:tRNA from 1 species
GGAUUGUGGCUCAGCGGUAGAGUGCUCACCUCAUACAUGAGAGACCCUGGCUUCGAUCCUCAGCACCA